rnacentral:rRNA from 1 species
AUUGAACGCUGGCGGCAGGCCUAACAUAUGCAAGUCGAGCGGAUGAAGGGAGCUUGCUCCUGGAUUCAGCGGCGGACGGGUGAGUAAUGCCUAGGAAUCUGCCUGGUAGUGGGGGAUAACGUCCGGAAACGGGCGCUAAUACCGCAUACGUCCUGAGGGAGAAAGUGGGGGAUCUUCGGACCUCACGCUAUCAGAUGAGCCUAGGUCGGAUUAGCUAGUUGGUGGGGUAAAGGCCUACCAAGGCGACGAUCCGUAACUGGUCUGAGAGGACGAUCAGUCACACUGGAACUGAGACACGGUCCAGACUCCUACGGGAGGCAGCAGUGGGGAAUAUUGGACAAUGGGCGAAAGCCUGAUCCAGCCAUGCCGCGUGUGUGAAGAAGGUCUUCGGAUUGUAAAGCACUUUAAGUUGGGAGGAAGGGCAGUAAGUUAAUACCUUGCUGUUUUGACGUUACCAACAGAAUAAGCACCGGCUAACUUCGUG